rnacentral:tRNA from 8 species
CGCUAAGAAGCUAAACUAGCACUAGCCUUUUAAGCUAGAGACUGAGAGAAGAAUCUCUCCUUAGCGA